rnacentral:guide_RNA from 1 species
AUAUAUGCAUACAAAAUCACAAUAGAUACAGUGAGGAUAGUGGUAUGA